AUGUCUGCCAUCUUUUCCGUGCUGAAAUUUUCUGACACUGACAGUUGUAACAAAAAAUGGCAUUUCGAGGUCGUUCCAGAGAUAGAACAGCACGCUUUUAUCAAGAGAAAGCAGUUCAGCGGAAUGCGAUAUGUUAAGGAGAAGAAUGUCUCAAACACAAUUGUGCUCAAAACAGGAUGUGGGGCCAGUAUUGACAUUGAGGUCGAUAAGGCCAGACCCUCCUAGAAGAAGGAAAUAUGCCUGUUGUUACUUUCACCAGCCAAAAGUCAAGUGUGCCACAUUAAAAUAUGAUGCCUCAACCAGAGGUUAUAAACACGAUCCAGUGUUGAAUGUGACCCAAGGCCAACACGUUGUCUUCAAGUUGGGUGCCCAGAUAAUUUAUGAAGAUACAAUGGCAUCUGGAGAGAGUGGCGUUUGUGAAAAGCUGCACACAAUCCAGGAACCAAUGAUUGUACCUGAAAAAGUCAUUGAGUACCCAGAGGUUCUGCCAAUGAGUCCCCGUGCUAACCCCGCCAACGGAGAGGGAUUUGCUGAGAAUUACGGUCAUGAUGGAAAUGACCCUGGGCCCACUUCACUUGCUCCACGGCCCUCACCCGUCCAUCCAGUACCAUCUAGCCCUCCGUUUGUGGCCAUCCAACAACCAGCGCUUGGGCUUGAACCAGUCAUAGACGGUGUGGCACAGUAUCCCCUUUCAAAUGUUUUUCCCCAGAUGCCUAUGCCCGAGAGCAUCCAGCCUCCAUAUACACCCCAGGGUCCUCCUUAUCAUGCUUUCCCCGUCGACCAGGAGCCACGUCCUUUGGGUUUUGAAUUUGUCCAGCCUCAAAAUCACUAUCAGCUGCCCCGCAUUCAUGAUAUACCGCAAUAUGUGCAGUAUUUUAACCAGGUAUCUUACCCACAUUGACGCCUUGAUACAUUUGGUCAGUUGUUUUACAUGUUUAUAUACACACUGUUGUGUUGUCAUCUUGCCACUCUUGUCAGCUGAGUUAAUUCCAAAUGUCUCAUUUUAUAAAGUUUUUAGCUCACCUGAGCACAAUGUGCUCAUGGUGAGCUUUUGUGAUCGCAUCUUGUCCAUCGUGCGUUGUGCGGCGUCAACAUUUGCCUUGUUAACACUUUAGAGGCCACAUUUAUUGUCCAAUCUUCAUGAAAUAGGGUCAAAAGAUUGGUCUCAAUAAUAUCUUGGAUGAGUUCAAAAAUGGUUACGUUUGCUUGAAAAACAUGGAUGCCAAGGGGCGGGGUAUUUUUCCUUAUAUGGCUAUAGUAAAAUCUUGUUAACACUCUAGAGGCCACAUUUAUUGUCCGAUCUUCAUGAAACUUGGUCAGAAGAUUCAUCCCAAUAAUAUCUUGGACGAGUUAGAAAAUGGUUUCGGUUGCUUCAAAAACAUGGCCACCAGGGGGGCGGGGCAUUUUUCCAUAUAUGGCUAUAUAUGGCUUUAGUAAAACCUUGUUAACACUCUAGAGGCCACAUUUAUUGUCCAAUCUUCAUGAAAUUUGGUCAUAAGAUUGGUCUCAAUGAUAUCUUGGAUGAGUUCGAAAAUGAUAACGUUUGCUUGAAAAACAUGGCUGCCAAGGGGCGGGGCAUUUUUCCUUAUAUGGCUAUAUAUGGCUUUAGUAAAAUCUUGUUAACACUCUAGAGGCCACAUUUAUUGUCCGAUCAUUAAACUUGGUCAGAAGAUUCACCCCAAUAAUAUCUUGGACGAGUUCGAAAAUGAUGCCGGUUGGUAAAAAAAUAUGGCCACCAGGGGGCGGGGCAUUUUUCCUUAUAUGGCUUUAGUAAAACCUUGUUAACACUCUUGAGGCGUGACAUUUAUUUUCCAAUCUUCAUGAAACUUGGUCAAAAGAUUUGUCCCAAUGAUAUCUUGGAUGAGUUUGAAAAUGGUUUUGAUUGCUUUAAAAACAUGGCCAUCAGGGGCGGGUCAUUUUUCCUUAUAUGGCUAUAUAUGGCUUUAGUAAAACCUUGUUAACACUCUAGAGGCCACAUUUAUUGUUCAAUCUUCAUGAAAUUUGGUCAGGAGAUUGGUCUCAAUGAUAUCUUGGAUGAGUUUGAAAAUGGUAACGUUUGCUUGAAAAACAUGGCUGCCAAGGGGCGGGGCAUUUUUCCUUAUAUGGCUGUAGUAAAAUCUUGAUUGUACAGAAUCAUCAAACAAUAAAAAACAUAUUCAAAAGUUUGCUUUCUUCCAGAAUGUAAUUAUCAUUUAUAAUUAAUUCCACUUAAUCUUCUUGUGCUUAAAAAAAAUAUUUUAAAAAGGGAGACAACUCUGUCAAUUCAACAUAAUUUUUCAAAAGCCAUUUUGCAGUUACUUCCCUUGACAUGCUAAACUAGAGUGUUCACAAGCUGUUUUAACUAUAUAAAUAUAAGGAAAAUGACCCCCCCCCCCAGCAGCCAUGCUUUUAUACCAAUCCUAACCAUUUUCGAACUCAACAGUCAUAUCCAGAAAACACAUGUUCUGACCAAAUUUCAUGAACAUUGGACCAAAAAUGUGACUUCUAGAGUGUUCACAUGUUAUCAUUAUAUACAUAUAGAGAAAACUGCCCCACCCCCUGGCAGCCAUGUUUUUUCACCGAUCUGGACCAUUUUCGAACUCGUCCGAGAUAUCAAUGAAACCAAUGUUUUGACCAAGUUUCAUGAUAAUUGUAACUUCUUGAGUGUUCACAAGGUUUCUCUAUAGCCAUAUAAAGAAUACUGCCCCGCCCCCUGGCGGCCAUGUUUUUCAACGGACCAGAACCUUUUUUGAACUCAACCAACAUAUUAUUGAGACAAACAUUUUGACAAAGUAACAUGAAGAUUGGGCAUCAAAUAUGACUUCUACAGUGUUCACAAGGUUUUUCUUUUUUUUGACCUAGUUUUUGACCCAGCAUGAUCCAGUUUCGAACUCAGUCGAGGUAUCAAUGGGACAAAUGUUCUGACCAAGUUUCAUGAUGAUCGGACAAUAAAUGUGGCCUCUAGAGUGUUCACAAGGCAAAUGUUGACGACGCACGACUGACAAAAGGUGAUCACUAAAGCUCACCAUGAGCACGUUGUGCUCAGGUGAGCUAAAAAUAUUUAAAAAUCGGGAAAUAAUUACGGAUCGUCACCUUUAUAGGGCCUUUAACACACAAGAGGCCACAUUAUUGUCCGAUCAUCAUGAAACUUGGUCACAAGAUUUGUACCAAUGAUAUCUUGGAUGAGUUCAAAAAUGUAUGCCCACCUUCGAAGAAGAGGGGGUAUAUUGUUUUGCACAUGUCCGUCGGUCCGUCUGUCUACGAGAUGGUUUCCGGAUGAUAACCCAAGAACGCUUAGGCCUAGGAUCAUGAAACUUCAUAUGUAUAUUGAUCAUGACUGGCAGAUGACCCCUAUUGAUUUUCAGGUCACUAGGUCAAAGGUCAAGGUCACAGUGACAAAAACGUAUUCACACAAUGGCUGCCACUACAACUGACAGCCCAUAUGGGGGGCAUGCAUGUUUUACAAACAGCCCUUGUUCCUUAUAUGGAUUCAUGAAUCUACAUGAAACUUUGUCAGAAUAUUUGUUUAAAUUAUAUCUUGGAUGUGUAUGAAAAUGGUUCUGGUCUGUUCAAAAACAUUGCUGCCAGGGUGUUCACUAGUCAUGAAAGUUGGUAAGAACAUUUUGUUCUAAUGACAUCUUGGGCUGCACAGAACAGCUCAGUUGCUUUGAAUCUCAGGUGAGCGACUUUGGGCCUUUCAGGCCCUCUUGUUUUUAUCACUUGAUCUGAUUACAUUCUCUUAUGUUCAUUUUCCUGGAAUUUUUAUGUCCCCCACUAUAGUAUUGUUUUAGCCCUAUCUGUUGGUUGGUCUGUUGGUUGGUUGGUUUGCGCUUUAACAUUUUGCAAUAACUUUUGCUAUAUUGAAUAUAACAACUUGAUAUUUGGCAUGCAUGUGUAUCUCAUGGAGCUGCACAUUUUGAAUGGUGAAAGGUCAAGGUCAUCCUUCAAGGUCAGAGGUCAAAUAUAUGUGGCCAUUAUCGCUUAUUUUAUGAAUACUUUUGCAAUAUUGAAGAUAGCCACUUGAUAUUUGGCAUGCAUGUGUAUCUCAUGGAGCUGCACAUUUUUAGUGGUGAAAGGUCAAGGUCAUCCUUCAAGGUCAGAGGUCAAAUAUAUGUGGCCCAAAUCGCUUAUUUUAUGAAUACUUUUGCAAUAUUGAAGAUAGCAACUUGAUAUUUGGCAUGCAUGUGUAACUUAUGGAGCUGUACAUUUUGAGUGGUGAAAGGUCAAGGUCAUCCUUCAAGGUCAGAGGUCAAAUAUAUGUGGCCCAAAUCGCUUAUUUUAUGAAUACUUUUGCAACAUUGAAGAUAGCAACUUGAUAUUUGGCACGCAUGUGUAUCUCAUGGUGCUGCACAUUUUGAGUGGUGAAAGGUCAAGGUCAUCCUUCAAGGUCAGAGGUCAAAUAUAUGUGGCCCAAAUCGCUUAUUUUAUGAAUACUUUUGCAAUAUUGAAGAUAGCAACUUGAUAUUUGGCAUGUAUGUGUAUCUCAUGGAGCUGCACAUUUUGAGUGGUGAAAGGUCAAGGUCAUCCUUUUAGGUCAAAUAUAUGGGUCAAAAUUGCUCAUGUAAUGUAACUUCUGCAAUAUUGAAGCUAGCAAUUUUAUAUUUGACAUGCAUGUGUAUCUCAUGGAGCUGCACAUUUUGAGUGGUGAAGGGUCAAGGUCAUUCUUCAAGGUCAAACGUCAUAUAGGGGGACAAUGUGUUUCACAAACACAUCUUGUUCUCAUUUGGUGGUGCUUUUUUGCAUUUUUUUCAUUUUUUGAAUUUUUAAACAGGGCUAUAAUUGUUAAUACAUACCCCGCAUGUGGGACUUAAAAUAUUAACACAAGCUUUAAAAAAUAUCAGUCAGAUAAUAAAUUGAUGGGAGCUUAUUAAAAUGUAUCUCCAUCUCUCUAUCAAGAUAUUGAUAUAAAACUUAAGAUGCAUGUUAAGGGUCUUAAUCAACAUUCACCAAACCAACAGUGACCAGCUUUAUAGCUAGAUUACAUCCUCUUUUGUAUUUAUUAGUCUGGUUAAGAUUUGUGUGCAAUAUAAAACGUAGGUUUUAAUGUUCAUGUACAUAUCUCUGUAACUACUACAGAUAUUCUAUAGAAAGUUCACACAGUUUUGAGAAUCAUCUUGUUAGGUAAGAGCUACAAAGACCCAUAUACCUCUUACCAGAAAUUAUGCUCAUGUUCUUCAUAAGAAAAUGCAGGUAAGCGCGUUUUGCUUUUUUGUGCAGAAAGUUAUUUCUGUUGUUCACAUUUCAUUUUGAAAUGUUCAGGAUUCAUGCAGAGGGAUUAUGCAUAUGUUUAUUUAAGUUUUAUAUUUAUGUUGUUGUUGUUGUUGUUUGUUACAGAAAGUACAAUUUUAUAUAAUUUUUGAAGACAUAAAAACUUCAAAGUUUGAAAAAGUGAGACACACUUUUAAUUUAAAAAAUGCACAUUUCAUUAUUAAAUUGUCAUACAAAUGUGUCUGCAUUUUUUGCUGGAAUUUUAUUGUACAAAUAUCAUCCCAUUUAUUAAGGAUGAAUAUUUAUAUAUUGAACUUCAAUGAUUUUACAAGUAGAAAGUUAUUGAAAGUUAAAUCAUUGAAAAAGAUGUUACAUUUUUAUUAGUUUUUGCAUGUGUACCCUUUUAUAUGUUUGUGAACUGUUUUUGAGAUUAUGAUGUAUUUUACUGAGAUUAUGGACUUUGGGAAAAUUAAUUACUGCUGACAUCGAGUCACAUCUAGUAAUUGUUAGCUAAAAGUUUUUUUACAAUGAACUCUUGUACUGAAUACAAAUUUUGCAUGAUGUCCAUAUGUUUGCAUUACAUUAGCUUUCGUAGUCACUUUGUUUAUUUAUUAUGAACAUGAUACUGUGAUUCUUUAAGAUGAACAAAUACAUGUGAAUAUAAAAAGUAAGAUACACAUACUCUUUCUUGCAUGAUGUUUACUUAAACAAAUCAUAUUGGCAUUGUUAAUGUUGCUAAAAAUAUAUGAGCCUUGUUCUGGGAAAACAGGGCUUAUUGUAUGACUGCACAGGGUAUUCAAGGACACUUUCCACCUGGAUUGGAUUAACCUUUAGAGAAGACUUCAUUUAACCCAUUUAUGCCUAUUUGACUCCCCCAUCCUUCUAAAUUGGAACAAUUUAUUUCCAAAAUUAGGGAUGCCUACAAUAUGAAUUUCUAUAUUUAGAAUAUUUCUUACAGAAAUUCCUUUAAGAAAACAGCGCAGACCCAGAUGAGAAGUCACAUCAUGCGGUGUCUCAUCUGGGUCUACGCUGUUUGCCAAGGCCUUUUGUCUAGACGCUAGGCAUAAAUGGGUUAAACAACAAAUUAAAUUACAGCAGAAAGUGUUCUCCCUGAUAAGCACUUGCAUAAAGUUAAGUAUUCCCAGAACGCAGCUUACAGUAUAGCUGUUCUUGUGUUAUUAUAAAAUGUUGGAAUGAUGUUAUUCAUUUGCAAGGGGGCAUUUAUAUUGUAAAUUGUCACUGAUGUCAGAUUGUAUCACUAUUAGCAUCCAAAGAAGCUAUUCAUAUAAUUGUUGAUUGUUAGGAAACACUCAAAUACGUAGUCCUGUUAACAAAAGCAAUAAUUUUGUUUUCUUACCUGAUGAAAAUAAUUGUUUUUCUUCAAAUUUUGUAAUUAAAUGUAUUUUAUGAAGCGUUAAUUUUGACAUUUUUUGUUUUGUUUAUUAUUGUUUGUGUAAAUUGUAUGUAUUUACCUAUGACUAGGUGGAGGAAUUUAACAUACAUGUAUAUAUAAAUGUAUAAAAUGAAGUUUGUGUGAAGUUAAACACCAUUUAUUACAUUCAAUUUGUAAUAGGCUUGUUUAAAACAGUGGGUGUAUUAUGGGAACAUCUUUGACUUGUGGUGGGCAUCGUCAAGGAAAAUGAUGGAGUAUGUAUUCAGAUGUUUGCAGCAUUCUACUUUAUUGUUCAGCAUGAACUCUGUGCCAUAUGUAGGCUUACUUCAAUCAAUUUGAUCUCAAUGGCAUUGAACAAACUCAUUAUCAAAGCCAGUUUAUUGUGGAUAUUUUAAUUAGAAAAGGAUAAAGCAUAAUUUAAGUUUCGUUCAACAGGCAGCAUACUUUACAACAUUCUAUUACUAGUCUUGGUUUAUCAUUGUAUUCCAUUCUAGUACUAACUCUCAGUCUAUUACAAGGGCUAGUCUAGGUUUUUCCAUUUAUUCAAUGACAACAGUGUAUUACAAAAGCUAGUCUAGGUUUUUCCAUUUAUUCAAUGACAACAGUGUAUCACCUUUUAUAGAUUUUUGUUUGAUUUCUGAGAUUUAAAAGGGCAAUCUGAAGAACUAUUUUUUAGUUUAGUCAUGUACAAGUUUAAGAUUGUUCUGGAAUCUUUGUAUGCGUAUUGCAUAAUUUGUCAUAAAUUGUUCUCAAUGUUGUUUUUGUUUAAAUUCGUGGAAAUGUUUUAUUUUUUAGUUAAACUUAUGAAACUGAUUACUUUGUAUGUUGUAGGCAACACGUCAAAGUAAAUAAACAUUAUACAAACACUGUC